ensembl:lncRNA
GUGUCGGCUUCCCACCUCCCUCUGCCAGAGGGGCCCCAGAGCACAAGGUGAACCCCAGCUCUGCUCCUUUCUGGCUCAAAGGGGCCAAGGCUGGAGCCACGCUCAGGGGACAUGAGAGUGAAGAGGUUUUUUUCUAGGAGGAAAAGCCCAGGCAAGAGUUGGAUAGGAGAACAAAGGUAUUUGGGGGAAUGCAGAGAUGAAAAGGUGUGUCCAGCUUUCAGAAGUUAAGAAUCUGCCUUCCAGUGUGGGGCACUUGGAUUUGAUUCCUGGUCAGGAACUAAGAUCUCACAUGCCUGGGGCAACUAAACCCGCAUGUGCAGGCACGGGCAGCAACAGAAGACCAAAUACCGCAGCAAAAGAUCCCACGAGCCGUGACUAAGAAGCCAUGCAGCCGGUGUACGGUUACCGUCUGUUUUCUCCACUAGAUGACAAGCCGCAGGAUGACAGGGACCAGCUCGGGCUGGACCCUAGUGCCGUCGAAGACUGGCGCACACAGCAGCCUACAUCCUGAAUGAAGUCGUUACACCCGCGCCAAGUGACUGCUGACUGUCAGGCAUAGCCAGGCCUCGAAGAUAUCCAGACACCUCACUGGAGAUAAACCUCUUUGAAGACACGAGUGC